rnacentral:rRNA from 1 species
ACAUAUACAUCCGCCUGGGUACUACGAGCACAGCUUAAAACCCAAAGGACUUGGCGGUGUCUCAGACCCACCUAGAGGAGCCUGUUCUAGAACCGAUACCCCCCGUUAAACCUCACCACUUCUUGUUCUUCCCGCCUAUAUACCGCCGUCGUCAGCUUACCCUGUGAAGGCUUAACAGUAAGCAAAAUGGGCCCACCCAAAAACGUCAGGCCGAGGUGUAGCGUAUGAAGUGGAAAGAAAUGGGCUACAUUUUCUAUACUUAGAAUAUUACGAAUGAUGCAUUGAAACCAUGCACCUGAAGGUGGAUUUAGUAGUAAAAAGCAAAUAGAGUGUCCCUUUGAAUUAGGCUCUGAGACGCGCACACACCGCCCGUCACUCUCCCCUACAACAUACCAUAAUAAUAUAUAAUAAAUUAAUUACAAACACGGGGAGGCAAGUCGUAACAUGGUAAGUGUACCGGAAGGUGCACUUGGAAUAAU